GGACAGAGGUCAAAAAUCCACAGCAAAUGGAGGUGCCAACUAGGAAUGGAUGAACUCAGAUAAAUUUGGGGAUCUGUUUCUGCCCUAGUUUGUUUAAUCAAAUACGAAGAUGUUUAGAACUUCUUGAAAACCAUUGCUUUUUCCCCCACAAAGGGUAAUUAGACUACAAGCAAUAGUACAUCUGUCUACCUAAAUCACCUUUGAAAUCUGAGGCCAACAUGGAUGGAAAUCAACCGCAGAGAAGGCAAAUGCUGCACAUUCAGAAUGGAGUUUGCAGCUUGGUAGAGAUUUGGUUUCUAGAUUUGAAUUGCAGAGGAUCCUCCUACUAUCUGUUACUCAUACAAUAUGACAGACAUGCACCUCCCAUCCCCUCCACCUACUUCCCACCCUCUACGAAUGUCAACAAAAGGAAAAUGAAUGUACUGGAAUACAGAUUUGCUUCAAAGACACGUUGAAGAUCAGGACAAUGAAUUUGGAGACUAUUCCUCUGAUCGGUUUAAACCUUAUUAAUAUUUAUAGGUGUGCAGGUUUACUGAUGGGAUUCCACCUUUUUUUUCAUUUAGAAAGUCAGUUAUGAAAGCAGCACAUUGUAAUUUAUACGUGCUUGCCCAAAACUUCCUUCAUGAAUCACAAAUCACCACCUUUAAAAACUUCAUAGCAACACUGAGCUAGUUUCUACAGCAAAUCAGGGUUUAAAAAUGGCUGGAAGAGGCUGAGAACUGAGAGUAGUCCUGGAGCAAAUAAAUGACAGCUUGCACAAAUAAAAUGGAAAACUGUUAAACAAUAAACA